CACAGCUCAUGGCAAUGCCAGAUCCUUAACUCACUGAGCGAGGCCAGCGAUUGAACCUUAGUCCUCAUGGAUCCUAAGUGGGUACCACAGGAUGGAUGGCCAGAAAGGUGACACCCGGGAACCACAGGAAGCAGCUGCCCCACCCCACCCUCACCCCCACCCCUCCGGGGGCCCAGGGGACAGGUGGGGUUAUAGGGUCUAAGAGCCUGGAGGAGGGCGUCCCAUGGAGCUGGACUCAGAUGUCUGGCAAGAGGGCACUGCGGUAUUUCUGAGAGGCACAGGGGCUGGUUCUGGGAGCGCAGGGACACCGGAGCCUGGAACCAAACGUCGCCAUUGCCAGGGGGAUGCUCGGGAGACCAGGGAGCAGACAGAAAGCGGCGGCCCCCUCCUCCUCCAGCGGCGCGGGCCCCUCUAGCGCCCCUGGCGGCAGAGGCUGGAAGGGAGCAGCCGCCCCGUGGGAUCACGGAGCUGGGUAAGGUCCCCCCUCUCGAGGCUGCCCGGUCUCUCCUUCCCUACACCCUCGGAACAGCGGACAGGAGGAGGAACAGGGUGCGGUGCUCAAGGCCAGAGGUUUUAAAGCAAGCCUGAAUGACAGUGUGGCCGCAGGAGGGAAAAACAGGACAGACUGGCACGUGGAUUUUAGAAGGGGGCAGUGGUCCUGCCGGCCGCUGGGGCAUGGGGGCUGGGGUCAGACAGGGAUGAAAAUCAUUCUGGUUUGCAGAGAGAUUGUGGCAGGGGUCCAACUCCCAGAUCUCAAGGUUCUCCACGUUCUCAGAACUUGAAGCCAAGAAGACUGUGACCCUGGACGACACGUCCCAGAGGAGGAGGGGAUGGGACCUCAGGGGAAGAUUCAGAGAGGCUCAGACCCCUGAGGGCUUUGCAGGAGGAGGGGAGGUGGUUUGGAGGCUGCAAUGGGGCCGGGGGUGAGGGUGGGAUGGAAGGGGUGGCUGGAGGCAGGGCUCGGUGAGGAGGCAGCUCUGGAGUCAGACCUGGACUCAGUCCUGUUCUGCUGAUUCCCCUGGGGGAGGCCCUCUGCCUGCACCUGUUCUUCAGCUGCGGAACAGCGAGCACGACGUGAAAUAAUCUCUGGGACCAUGACGCUUCACGACGCCCUUGAAGUCUUUUUGUGGCAGUUACAGAAUUUCUGGAGUUCCUGUCAUGGCUCAGCGAUAAUGAAUCCAACUAGGGUCCAUGAAGAGGCAG